rnacentral:rRNA from 1 species
AGUGAACGCUGGCGGCAGGCCUAACACAUGCAAGUCGAACGGCAGCACAGCAGUAGCAAUACUGUGGGUGGUGAGUGGCGGACGGGUGAGGAAUACAUCGGAAUCUGCCUAGUCGUGGGGGAUAACGUAGGGAAACUUACGCUAAUACCGCAUACGACCUACGGGUGAAAGCGGGGGAUCGCAAGACCUCGCGCGAUUAGAUGAGCCGAUGUCCGAUUAGCUAGUUGGCGGGGUAAUGGCCCACCAAGGCGACGAUCGGUAGCUGGUCUGAGAGGAUGAUCAGCCACACUGGAACGGAGACACGGUCCAGACUCCUACGGGAGGCAGCAGUGGGGAAUAUUGGACAAUGGGCGCAAGCCUGAUCCAGCCAUGCUGCGUGGGUGAAGAAGGCCUUCGGGUUGUAAAGCCCUUUUGUCCGGAAAGAAAAGCACUGGAUUAAUACUUCGGUGUUCUGACGGUACCGGAAGAAUAAGCACCGGCUAACUUCGUGCCAGCCGCCGCAGUAAAAC